rnacentral:rRNA from 1 species
UACGGAGGAUCCAAGCGUUAUCCGGAAUUAUUGGGCGUAAAGCGCGCGCAGGCGGUCCUUUAAGUCUGAUGUGAAAGCCCACGGCUCAACCGUGGAGGGUCAUUGGAAACUGGGGGACUUGAGUACAGAAGAGAAGAGUGGAAUUCCACGUGUAGCGGUGAAAUGCGUAGAGAUGUGGAGGAACACCAGUGGCGAAGGCGACUCUUUGGUCUGUAACUGACGCUGAGGCGCGAAAGCGUUGGGGAGCAAACAGGAUGAUG